AACUCAGCCAGGCAGUGGUGAUGCAUGCUUUUAAUACCAGCACUUGAGAAGCAGAGGAAGGCUGAACUCUGAGUUCCUGGCCAACGUGGUCUACAAAGAAGUUCUAGGACAGGCUACAGAGAGAAAAAUAUGAGAGCUCUUCCAGACAAUUAUUGGUAUUGUGUUCUGGUUUGCUUUUCUGUUGCCAUGAUAAAACAAUCACCAAAACCGACUAGGAGAAAAAAGGGUUUAUUUCAUCUUACAUUUUACAGUUCAUCAUCUAUGCAGGCAAAGGCAGUUUCUGGAAGGAGAAACUGAAGAGUUCAGCUGCUUACCGGCUUGCUUUCGUCUACAGCCCAGACCUACGGUGGGCUGGUCUCUCCUGCCCCAAUUAUAGACCACUGUGCUGGACUCAAAUCCUCAACUGAGAUUGUCCUUUUUUGCUAAAUAGUGACUCAAAUGGCCUAGGCUGGUCACAAACUCUCCUUGUACCGAUGGGUGACCUUGAACUCUUGAUCCAACUGCCUCCACCUGCCAAGUGGCAGAGAUAGCAGCCCGCUGUAUGCAGUUCUUCCCUAAUUGUAUGUGGCCUGGUGAUCUCCAGAGGUGCUGGAAUGCAUAGAAGAUGGAAGGCUGCAGCUAAGGGGAAGUUGGUGCUGGGGAGACACUUUCCAGUGGGACAGCUGCUUUUAGGUCACCUGUGACUGUAAGUAAGCCCAAUAAACACACCAGUUUCCUAAGUUGGACUUGGAAGGCACCAUACUUUGGUUUGUUACUGGUGUACUCUAAGGAGAAAGACGUUUUUUCAAAUCUGUCCAAAAUGAAGUUCACACAAGGAUCUUCAGCAUUAAGUAGCAUUCACUUUCCAAGUGGCCGCCAACUCUUGUUGCACUCUGGGACCAGAUGAGUACUAGUUUUGACAGCAAGAAUUGACCAGGGUGCUCUCACCCUUUGCCACACUUGUAAGCAUCCACCCAGAUGCCUGGUGCUUUUCUCUCAUAAUCUUUACCUUUUGAAUACAUCUGAAAGGUGACAUUUCAGGAGCUGCUUAUACACACAAGCUUUAAGGACAGGCUUACCCAUUGCAGCAAGAUUGGUACAAGGAAAAGAUAGGAAACUAAAGGUCAUUGAAAAAU
rnacentral:lncRNA from 1 species